GAUUCUGGCUCAGGAUGAACGCUAGCGACAGGCUAACACAUGCAAGUCGAGGGGCAUCACGGGAGUAGCAAUACAACUGGUGGCGACCGGCGCACGGGUGAGUAACGCGUAUGCAACCUACCUAUCAGAGGGGAAUAACCCGGCGAAAGUCGGACUAAUACCGCAUAAAACAGGGGCACCGCAUGGUGAUAUUUGUUAAAGAAAUUCGCUGAUAGAUGGGCAUGCGUUCCAUUAGGUAGUUGGUGAGGUAACGGCUCACCAAGCCGACGAUGGAUAGGGGAACUGAGAGGUUGGUCCCCCACACUGGUACUGAGACACGGACCAGACUCCUACGGGAGGCAGCAGUGAGGAAUAUUGGUCAAUGGGCGGGAGCCUGAACCAGCCAAGUCGCGUGAAGGAAGAAGGAUCUAUGGUUCGUAAACUUCUUUUGCAGGGGAAUAAAGUGCAGGACGUGUCCUGUUUUGUAUGUACCCUGAGAAUAAGGAUCGGCUAACUCCGUGCCAGCAGCAGC
rnacentral:rRNA from 1 species